CGACGAAUGUUAGUUUUGUAGCAAUACAGAGCUAGCGGAAGUGGCGAAAGGGGCAGUAAUGCGUGGGUAACCUACCUUGGGGAUGGGGAUAGCCGUUCUAACGAACGGGUAAUACCCAGCGAUUCGGCGAAGGGGCAUCCCUUUGCCGGGAAAUGAGUUUCGCCUCGAGAGGGGCCCACGUGCUAUUAGCUAGUUGGUGGGGUAACGGCCUACCAAGGCUAAGAUGGCUAGCGGGUGUGAGAGCACGACCCGCGCCACUGGCACUGAGACACUGGCCAGACACCUACGGGUGGCUGCAGUCGAGGAUCUUCGUCAAUGGGCGCAAGCCUGAACGAGCGACGCCGCGUGCGCGAUGAAGGCCUUCGGGUUGUAAAGCGCGAAAGUGGAGAGAAAAGCGAAAGCUUGAUCAAUCCACAGUAAGGACGGGCUAAGUUCGUGCCAGCAGCCGCGGUAAGACGAACUGUCCAAACGUUGUUCGGAAUCACUGGGCUUAAAGGGCGCGUAGGCGGUCGGAUAAGUCGGGGGUGAAAUCCUGCAGCUCAACUGUAGAGGUGCCUUCGAUACUGUCCGUCUGGAGGGAGAUAGGGGUGUGCGGAACUUCCAGUGGAGCGGUGAAAUGCGUUGAUAUUGGAAGGAACGCCGGAGGCGAAAGCGGCGCACUGGAUCUCUUCUGACGCUGAGGCGCGAAAGCUAGGGGAGCAAACGGGAUUAGAUACCCCGGUAGUCC
rnacentral:rRNA from 1 species